CUGCCCCUCUCGCGGUCUGUGAAGCCAGAUAGCGCUCCCCACCCUUGGCGGGCCGGUCGGUCACCCUUCUGUUGUGGACGCCCAGCUCCCUCAUCCGCUCCCUUGCGUCUCUCCUCGUUUAGUGCCGCUGUCCGCCAUGGACAGGAAGCGUAGCUUCAUGGCCAGGCCGUUCUGAGAGUGGUGUGGAGGAUGCGGGCAAGCCUCCUGGUGCUUCCCCACCCCUCCAUCGUCGCCGACGAUGCCUCAGCCGGCCGGAGCAGAAACCUCCGGCGAGGGCGUGGUUGUCUGUUUUUUGGCGACUAGGGACCUCGGGUUAGAAUAAGAAACAACUCAGGGUUCCAGAUGCGAAGCCAAGACUCAUAUGAAUAGCGUUACUGGUCUGUGGCGCGAUUCUUGGAAAAGCUAGGGUUCCCGGUGCAAGAUCUGUUUUCCUUUUCUUUUGUUUUUUUUUGCAGAUUUUAUAGAUGAACUUUGGAAAUGCAUAGAAAUUCGUAGAAAAGUCGUAUAAUAGCAAUUGUGGACUUUUCGGAAUCCAUAUGAAAUUCUCUAUGCAAUAGAUCUAUAAUCCAGCAUGAUUUAGUUUGAAGUUUUAGUCGUAAAAAUAGAUUUAUGC
rnacentral:lncRNA from 1 species